rnacentral:rRNA from 1 species
GGGCUGCGCAGCUACACAUGCAGUCGAACGCUUACUUUUUCCACCCUUGCUUGUUCCCUCACAAAUGGCGGACGGGUGAGUAAUGUCUGGCACACUGCCUGACUGAGGGGGAUAACUACUGAACACUUGAGCUAAUACCGCAUUACGUCACAAGACCCAAAACGGGGAGCUUCUGACCUCUUGCCCUCUUAUGUGCCCAGAUGGGAUUAGCUAGUAGGUGGGGUAACGGCUCACCUAGGCGACGAUCCCUAGCUGGUCUGAAAGGAUGACCAGACACACUGGAACUGAGACACGGUCCAGACUCCUAACGGAGGCCACACUGGGGAAUAUUGCACAAUGGGCGCAAGCCUGAUGCAGCCAUGCCGCGUGUAUGAACAAGGCCUUCGGGUUGAAAAGUACUUUCAGAGGGGAGGAAGGGAAUAAUGUUAAUAACCUUGCUCAUUGACGUUACCCCAUCCCUUGACACCAUCUAACUCCGUGCCAGCAGCUAACUAUAAUACCGAGGGUGCAAGUAAUAAUCGGAAUUACUGCGCGUAAAGCAUUCAUUGGCGGUUUGUUAAGUCAUAUGUGAUUCUCCCGUCCUCAGCCUGGGAACUGCAUUCAACACUGGAAAGCUAUUGUCUACUAGAGGACUUUAGAAUUCCAGGUGUAACGCUAAUUCGCGUUUUAAAUUGGGAGA